AGCUCCGCUCCUCCUCGCCCAGCGCCCUCCAGGCCGCGCUGUGACCGCCCCUGCCCCCCCACGUUUUGCCUUGGGAGCUGCUGGAGACAAUUUAAUCCAACUCGGCUUAUUAUCGUCUCUACUCCCAGUCGCCGACCCGCUCUCACCCUUCAUCCCUAAACCUAUCGACCGGACGACAGCAAGGGCUGUACCACGCGUGUCCCGAGGAAGUGUGAAUCUGGGUUGGAAAAUCCGGUCAAUUUGACCCACCUACCCAACUGAAUCACCCGUCGUCAGGCGCUCUGUCCAAUUCUUCCCCAAGGUGAUAAUAGGCGCCCCUUUACUCAGAGCGCAAGGUGUGCCACCGUUGGCUUUUCGCCCAGUCAUCCGAUUCAGCCCUGCCAAGCACCCUUCAACGGCGUUCUGUUAUCAUUCCUGUGUUAUAAAUGAGGACACCAGGGCUCAGAGAGCUUAAGCAGCGUGUCCAGAGUCACACACAGCGAGAACCAGAAAGAACAGAGGGCACGAUCUCUCAGGCACGGGCUGCUGAGAGGCUCCGUGGAGCCUGCCUAAGCUGGUGGCCAUCCCAGCUCUACAGAGUGGUUGGUUGAGAAGGUGACCACCGUUGAGAUGUGCCAGAGGCAGAGACAGGGUUUUAUCAUGUUGGCCUGGCUGAUUUUGGACUCCUGACCUCAAGCGAUCCACCUGCCAUGGUCUCCCAAAAUGCCGGGAUUAUAGGUGUGAGUCAUCAUGCCCAGCCCACCCUCAGUUUCUUGACACAUGGGCUUCUCCAUAGGGCAACUCGCAACAUGGCGGCUACCUUCAUCAGAAGGAAGAAACAUUGGGAUAGAUGGAGAGGAAGAAUAAAAACAGGGCCUCUCUAAGAUCUCUCUGGGGCAGACCUUACAGUUCAUCUCUGCACAAGGCUGGAUGCUGGCACUGGAGACUACAUAGAGGUGAUAAGACAGAGACUCCACCCUCAGGAAACUCUCAGAGAGACCGCCUACCUUGGAAAGAGAAGGCCUUCUUUCAAGUCCAGCUCACACUUUCACUGCCAGUGUGACCUAGGCCGUGGUUUACCCAUUUGUGAAAUGAGGGGGCUGGCCUAUAUUAGCCUACCCCCAGGUGUCAGUCAUGUACAGCAGUCCCAUAUGAUGCUCCAGGGACCAUACUUUGGCCAGCAGGUUUGCAAGUCACUGACGCCUGUGGCAGCAUCCUGGGAAGCCCACAGGCUGCAUUGUACCCAGGUCAAAGCUGGGGCUGCCCACUCUAGCUGGAACACAGAGCCCUUUACUGCCGAGUGCCUGCAGACAGCCUUCUGGGAAAAGCCAGCUGUGGAUUUCUAAAGGACUUUCCCAGGCAAAGAUGCCUGGGGUAAGAGAAAAACAGGAUGGGGAAAGCACCAUCCUGGGGAUGUGAGGGACAGAGCACCCUCUCUGACCUGAGACCUGUGGUUGUGUCCCUGCCUCCACUGAGCUGCUCCAGCUGUUUCAGGCCUGACUUUGCAGGCUGGUGGUUAAGUGGGUAGAUGGGUCUGGACGGUACAGCCACUGCUGGUCAUCCACAGCGAUGAGCAAGCAAGAGUUUCACUGCGGCCGCCUCUGACACCGUGCUUCAUCCCAACCUUUCUUACAGUCUCCCUCAGUGUUUCCAAGACUCCCUGGGGUGAGUGAGACUCAUGGUAAAUCUGACUCUACCAUGGAGGGCAGGCCUGCCUCACCUGGGGGCCUCCCUGAGGGGAUCACAAGCAGGUCUAAGGGAACACAUCUCCCUGGCUGGCUCCUAGAAAUGAAAGAGGGGCAGGAUGAUCACAGGAGUAGAGUUAGCCUUCCUGCUCCCUCCCUGUCCUCCCUCAAGAAAGAGGUGACAAAUGAAGCAUUCUUGGGGAAGGAGAGAAAGUCCACAGUGACUGAGGUCUGAGGGCAGGCUGAGGCGGAGGUGGUGGAGAUGGCGACCUCAGCCCUCCACACGUGCAGUGUCAGGGCCUCAGAGCCCAGCUGGCAGGCUGCAGGAGACAGCGGGAGGUCUGGCUGGAGUGGAGACUGAGUCAUCUGGGACCGCAGGGUCCAAAGGAGUCACGCCUGUGAGUGAUGAGCACCUUGACUGAGGCCAACGUCACAGACGUGUCUGGGAGGUGAGUCAGGGACCCGCAGAGUAGGAGUCUCAACAUUCCUGGGAACAGCUUCCUCUGACUCUCCUGCUAUGAUAUGUUUUCUCCCCUAAGUGGCCUCAAAGGGAUGCCGGCUUUGCCAUUGAUAUUUCUACAGCAAAAUGAGCUAGUAAGCACUGGAGUUCAAAGGACAUGGCGCAACUUUCAAACCAAAUUCUCGUGGGAUUUCAGAGACUGAUUACCCUCCCCUCCCUCCCUCCCUCCUUCUUUCCAGCAUGUUGAUAUUCAUCUUUCAAAUAUUUAUUGAGCAGCCACUCUGUGCCAGGUGCUGUGGACUGGAGUCACGGUGAUGGACAAGACACAUGCCUGUGCCUUCCAGUCCCUGCCUUCACACGCCCUGUAGUCUUGGGCAGGGGGACACUAAACACUCACACAAAUAAUUGCCUGCAAUUUGCUGUGAACGAUGAAUGAAUAGUUCAGGUGGCUCUGAAUGUAUCUAACAGUGGUCCUGGCAGGACCUGGAGGGCCAGGGAGGACUCCCCUGAGGAAAGUCCCCGUAAAAAGGGCUGGGCACGGUGGUUCACGCCUGUAAUUCCAGCAUUU